rfam:Deltaproteobacteria bacterium RBG_19FT_COMBO_46_12 rbg_19ft_combo_scaffold_5351, whole genome shotgun sequence.
GGGUCCAGAGAUAUUUAAAUAUUUCUGGAGGUUGAAAAGGCUGGAUAGUCGGGCCGCUAUCU